UGGGGAAUAUUGGACAAUGGGCGCAAGCCUGAUCCAGCCAUGCCGCGUGAGUGAUGAAGGCCCUAGGGUUGUAAAGCUCUUUCACCGGUGAAGAUAAUGACGGUAACCGGAGAAGAAGCCCCGGCUAACUUCGUGCCAGCAGCCGCGGUAAUACGAAGGGGGUUAGCGUUGUUCGGAUUUACUGGGCGUAAAGCGCACGUAGGCGGACUUUUAAGUCAGGGGUGAAAUCCCGGGGCUCAACCCCGGAACUGCCUUUGAUACUGGAAGUCUUGAGUAUGGUAGAGGUGAGUGGAAUUCCGAGUGUAGAGGUGAAAUUCGUAGAUAUUCGGAGGAACACCAGUGGCGAAGGCGGCUCACUGGACCAUUACUGACGCUGAGGUGCGAAAAGCGUGGGGAGCAAAACAGGAUUAGAUACCCUGGUAGUCCACGCCGUAAACGAUGAAUGUUAGCCGUUGGGGAGUUUAACUCUUCGGUGGCGCAGCUAACGCAUUAAACAUUCCGCCUGGGGAGUACGGUCGCAAGAUUAAAAACUCAAAAGGAAUUGAACGGGGUC
rnacentral:rRNA from 1 species